rnacentral:lncRNA from 1 species
CUCGACCAAAAGUGGGCUGAGCCUUGUUGCUGCGUGGCGAAACAGCUGUUCUCCCUGGGCUGUGGGGAAGCUGGGCCACAGGCACUUGCAGCACCUGUUUUGGAUUAAAAAAAUCCUCAAAACAAACGCGCAGGAAGAACAGCCUGCUGGGAAGUGGUGCAGCUCCCUGUACCCAUGUGCUUAAAUUGACUCACCCAGCGAGGUUGGAGGCUCGCUCAGAGAGCUCGGAGCUGCCGUCGUGUGAAUACAGAGCGCUGCAGCAGUGACUUCCAGGCUGCCCUUUGGGCUGAAGUCCUUCCUACUGCAGUUCCCGAAAUGCUCCGUGACCAAAAUACACAUGGAGCGCGUUUUGGGUGUCCUUGGACGUGCUCCUUAAUUGCCUCCUUUCCCCCUUUCCAAUGGGGAUGGCAACACCGCCCUGCGGUUGUGUCUCCCGCACCUGCCUGUGAGCGGUGCGGGGGACAGGAGCAGCAGCCCUUGCUCCGUGCCUGGGCAGCCGUUUGUGCAACGAGCCCUCGUGUGCUCAGCUGGGGCUGCUGUCCUCCUGGAAAGCACGAGGUUCCCGGAGCACAGAGGUGUCAGAAAUUCCUUGAACCCUUGGAACGGGCAGGCGCCGGAGGGCCGGCCGGCAUCCGACGCGGCAGCGCGAAGCCCCACGUGGCCUGCACAAGGCCCCCGCUCCGGCCCGGCCAGGCGGCCUCCCCCAUGAGCCGCUCCGGUUCCUGCUCCUGGAGAUUUGCAGCCGGGGAGACGGGAGGUGAAAUUCUGGGAGCCCCGGAAAGGCGAAGCGCGUGUUGGAGAUGGGAUCCUGCUGCUGCACCUCCUCCGACCUCUGCCUGGGCUCCAGCCUCCCCUGAACGCGGAGCUGAAACCCACUCCAGGGAGUCGCUGACCCAGGUUUGCGCCCGUCGCGGCCGCCGCUCGCCGCCCGGUUUUGCAGCAGGUUGGCUCUGCGGCGAGCUGCGGGUCGGCUCUGACGGAUGACAAAGCGCUCAUUUAAAUGCGCACCGUGCUGCCGGCGAGUCCAUUAGGGGAAUUAAUUUGAAUGGAUGGCAUUUAAUAAACAGCCUCGUGCCUCCUCUCCCCCUUCCCGC